rnacentral:rRNA from 1 species
CAAUAGCGUAUAUUAAAGUUGUUGCAGUUAAAAAGCUCGUAGUUGGAUUUCGGGGCAGCCUGGCUGGUCCGCCGCAAGGCGAGUACUGGUCAGCCGCCCUUCCUCUCGAAAGCCCCGACUGCUAUUCGUUGCAGUGGUCGGGUAGUUCGGGACGUUUACUUUGAAAAAAUUAGAGUGUUCAAGGCAGGCCUACGCCUGAAUACAUUAGCAUGGAAUAAUGGAAGAGGACCUCGGUCCUAUUUUGUUGGUUUCCAGGGCCGAAGUAAUGAUUAAGAGGGACAGUUGGGGGCAUUCGUAUUUAAUUGUCAGAGGUGAAAUUCUCGGAUUUAUGAAAGACGAACAACUGCGAAAGCAUUUGCCAAGGAUGUUUUCAUUAA